ensembl:piRNA 21ur-15042 ncRNA
UCCGUUUUGUAUUCUUACCUG